rnacentral:rRNA from 1 species
UACAGAGGUCUCAAGCGUUGUUCGGAUUCAUUGGGCGUAAAGGGUGCGUAGGCGGCGGGGUAAGUUUGAUGUGAAAUUCCGGGGCUCAACCCUGGCAUGGCAUUGAAUACUACCUUGCUAGAGUACCGGAGAGGAAACUGGAAUUUACGGUGUAGCAGUGAAAUGCGUAGAGAUCGUAAGGAAGACCAGUGGCGAAGGCGAGUUUCUGGACGGUAACUGACGCUGAGGCACGAAGGCCAGGGGAGCAAACGGG